AUUUGUCGCCGGCGCGGUUGCUGCCGUCGCAAGUGGAAUAUUGGCUCUCUUUAUGCUACCGUCUCCGCCACCCGAUCUUCCAUCGAACAAAAAUGCAAGAGCUCCUGUUGUUGCCUUCCAUUGAUUUGCUUGCCCUACCUCUUAACUUCUUAAGAAAAAAAAUCAAUACCGUAUGCAUCCAAGCGUAAGCAGGAUAUAUUUAGUCGCACUUUUUCUUCUUUUCUUGUAUUUAUUUCUGUCAAGGUUUUAUGUUCGUCAUAAAAGACGUCAAGGUUGAACCCCUAAAUCUUUAGCUUUG
rnacentral:lncRNA from 1 species